AGUUUUGUUCACUGAGGUAAUCGUCCAGACUUGAAGAAGUGACUUAAAGGUGAAAGGCUUCAUAUCCCACAAGGCUCUUCCUGAACGGAGCCUCUGCACAGGAGACGGCAAAUGAAUGGAGGAGGAAGAGGCCAUAUUUGACAGGAAAUCAGUACGCCCCCUCACCUCUGGGAAAGAAGCCAAAGGAAAGUGCAGCAGAGAUGGGGCUUCAGUAAACAAUGGGAAC